AAUACCGGAGAAUGUUAUCACGGGAGACACACGGCGGGUGCUAACGUCCGUCGUGAAGAGGGAAACAACCCAGACCGCCAGCUAAGGUCCCAAAGUCAUGGUUAAGUGGGAAACGAUGUGGGAAGGCCCAGACAGCCAGGAUGUUGGCUUAGAAGCAGCCAUCAUUUAAAGAAAGCGUAAUAGCUCACUGGUCGAGUCGGCCUGCGCGGAAGAUGUAACGGGGCUAAACCAUGCACCGAAGCUGCGGCAGCGACACUAUGUGUUGUUGGGUAGGGGAGCGUUCUGUAAGCCUGUGAAGGUGGCCUGUGAGGGUUGCUGGAGGUAUCAGAAGUGCGAAUGCUGACAUAAGUAACGAUAAAGCGGGUGAAAAGCCCGCUCGCCGGAAGACCAAGGGUUCCUGUCCAACGUUAAUCGGGGCAGGGUGAGUCGACCCCUAAGGCGAGGCCGAAAGGCGUAGUCGAUGGGAAACAGGUUAAUAUUCCUGUACUUGGUGUUACU
rnacentral:rRNA from 1 species